CCUACGGGAGGCUGCAGUGAGGAAUAUUGGUCCAUGGGCGCGAGCCUGAACCAGCCAAGUCGCGUGAGGGAAGACGGUCCUAUGGAUUGUAAACCUCUUUUGUCGGGGAGCAAAAGACGCCACGUGUGGCGUUCCGAGAGUACCCGACGAAAAAGCAUCGGCUAACUCCGUGCCAGCAGCCGCGGUAAUACGGAGGAUGCGAGCGUUAUCCGGAUUUAUUGGGUUUAAAGGGUGCGCAGGCGGAAGAUCAAGUCAGCGGGAAAAUUGAGAGGCUCAACCUCUUCGAGCCGUUGAAACUGGUUUUCUUGAGUGAGCGAGAAGUAUGCGGAAUGCGUGGUGUAGCGGUGAAAUGCAUAGAUAUCACGCAGAACUCCGAUUGCGAAGGCAGCAUACCGGCGCUCAACUGACGCUCAUGCACGAAAGUGUGGGUAUCGAACAGGAUUAGAUACCCCAGUAGUC
rnacentral:rRNA from 1 species